GACGAACGCUGGCGGCGUGCUUAACACAUGCAAGUCGAACGGAAAGGCCCUGCUUUUGUGGGGUGCUCGAGUGGCGAACGGGGGAGUAACACGUGAGUAACCUGCCCUUGACUUUGGGAUAACUUCAGGAAACUGGGGGUAAUACCGGAAAGGAGCUCCUGCUGCAUGGUGGGGGUUGGAAAGUUUCGGCGGUUGGGGAUGGACUCGCGGCUUAUCAGCUUGUUGGUGGGGUAGUGGCUUACCAAGGCUUUGACGGGUAGCCGGCCUGAGAGGGUGACCGGCCACAUUGGGACUGAGAUACGGCCCAGACUCCUACGGGAGGCAGCAGUGGGGAAUAUUGCACAAUGGGCGGAAGCCUGAUGCAGCAACGCCGCGUGCGGGAUGACGGCCUUCGGGUUGUAAACCGCUUUCGCCUGUGACGAAGCGUGAGUGACGGUAAUGGGUAAAGAAGCACCGGCUAACUACGUA
rnacentral:rRNA from 1 species